AUUGAACGCUGGCGGCAGGCCUAACACAUGCAAGUCGAGCGGAUGAGGGGUGCUUGCACCCUGAUUCAGCGGCGGACGGGUGAGUAACGCCCAGGAAUCUGCCCGAUAGUGGGGGACAACGUUUCGAAAGGAACGCUAAUACCGCAUACGUCCUACGGGAGAAAGUGGGGGCUCUUCGGACCUCACGCUAUCGGAUGAGCCUAGGACGGAUUAGCUAGUUGGUGGGGUAAAGGCUCACCAAGGCGACGAUCCGUAACUGGUCUGAGAGGAUGAUCAGUCACACUGGAACUGAGACACGGUCCAGACUCCUACGGGAGGCAGCAGUGGGGAAUAUUGGACAAUGGGCGAAAGCCUGAUCCAGCCAUGCCGCGUGUGUGAAGAAGGUCUUCGGAUUGUAAAGCACUUUAAGUCGGGAGGAAGGGCUGCAGGUUAAUACCUUGCAGCCUUGACGUUACCGACAGAAUAAGCACCGGCUAACUUCGUGCCAGCAGCCGCCGUAACAC
rnacentral:rRNA from 1 species